GAUGAACGCUGGCGGCGUGCCUAAUACAUGCAAGUCGAGCGAACGGACGAGACGCUUGCUUCUCUCAUGUUAGCGGCGGACGGGUGAGUAACACGUGGAUCACCUACUUAUCUGACUGGUAUAACUUCGGGAAACCGGCUCUAAUACCGGAUAAUAUUUUGAACCGCAUUGUUCAAAAGAGAAAUACGGUCUUUCUGUCACUACUAGCUGCAUCCGCGCUGCAUUAGCUAGUUGGGAAGGUAACGGCCUACCAAGGCUACGAUGCAUAGGCGACCUGAGAGGGGGAUAGGCCACACUGGAACUGAGACACGGUCAAGACGCCUAAGGGAGGCAGCAGUAGGGAAUCUGACGCAGUGGGCGAAAGCCUGACGGAGCAACGCCGCGUGAGUGAUGAAGGUCUUCGGAUCGUAAAAAUCGGUUAUUAGGGAAGAACAGAUGUGGAAGUAACUGUGCACAUAGUGACGGUACCUAAUCAGAAAGCCACGGCUAACUACGUG
rnacentral:rRNA from 1 species